UGUCUUGGGUGCAGGGGCGGUGCAAGGCAGCUAGGGGGCGCCUGGCUACUGUUUGAUAAAGGGUUGCUGUUUCCGAUUUUGGUUAGGUUCCAGGGUUUGGUCUUUGGUUCUAGUGUUUCAUAAAGGGUUGCGGUUUCCUAUUUGGGUUAGGUUUCAGGGUUUGGUCUUUGGUUCUAGUGUUUGAUAAAUGGUUACGGUUGCCUACUUGGGUUAGGUUUCAGGGUUUGAUCUUUGGUUCUAGUGUUUAAGGGUUACGGUUUCCUAUUUGGGUUAGGUUUCAGGGUUUGGCCUUUGGUUCUAGUGUUUGAUAAAGGGUUAUGAUUUCCUACUUGGGUUAGGUUUCAGGGUUUGAUCUUUGGUUCUAGUGUUUGAUAAAGGGUUAUGAUUUCCUACUUGGGUUAUGUUUCAGGGUUUGAUCUUUGGUUCUAGUGUUUGAUAAAGGGUUAUGGUUUCCUACUUGGGUUAGGUUUCAGGGU
ensembl:lncRNA